rnacentral:rRNA from 1 species
UACGGAGGGUGCAAGCGUUAAUCGGAAUUACUGGGCGUAAAGCGUGCGCAGGCGGUUUGUUAAGUCUGCUGUGAAAUCCCCGAGCUCAACUUGGGAAUUGCAGUGGAUACUGGCAAGCUGGAGUACGGUAGAGGAAGGUGGAAUUCCCGGUGUAGCAGUGAAAUGCGUAGAGAUCGGGAGGAACACCAGUGGCGAAGGCGGCCUUCUGGACCAGUACUGACGCUCAUGCACGAAAGCUAGGGGAGCAAACAGG